AUGGUAGCAAAACUGCAUGGAAUACUGAGACCAUUUCUACUUCGGAGAAUGAAAUCUAAUGUCGAGCUAAUGCUCCCUCGGAAGAAAGAAAUCAUAAUAUAUUGGUUAUGAUUGAAGGAAGUUCACUUUGGGAAAUUGAUAGUCUUCGACACCAUUAUUGUCCUCCUGUUUCAAGGUUAGUUUUAUGCCUAGUAUCCCCGUACAAUCAAGUGUGUGAAGUGUUCAAGAGAGAGCUUGGCAUGACACCGGAUAAGUUGCUGGAUGGCCUGAAGAAGAAGAAUCCUGAUAAUGAAGUCCAUCUCAACAACGUAUAUUACAUCUCUUAAUCUCUCAAACCCUCCCAAAUUUGUAGACAAAUAAAAUUGUGUUGCCCUUACACAGAAGAUUCUGUUGCCCUUGUAAAAUCAUAAUCUUUGUAUUACUUGUAAUUUGUGUUUUCAAGGCUUGAAUUAUUGUACGCCUUUUAAAUUAUAAUUCUAUAGCAGAAUUUGUGGAUUAAAUAUAAUAGAUUUACAAUCCAUACAUGAAUAAUGUCAUAGCCAUAGUGUUCGAUGAUGAUAUGUCAUGUUAUA